GAAGAGGCGAGAACGACCCCCAGACCGACCAAAGCCCGCGCGCCGCUGCAUCCGGCGUCCAGCACCUACGUCCUGCUGCCGUCGCCACCAUGCCCAAGAGAAAAGCUGAAGGGGAUGCUAAAGGAGAUAAAGCCAAGGUGAAGGACGAACCACAGAGAAGAUCCGCGAAGUUGUCUGCUAAACCUGCUCCUCCAAAGCCAGAGCCCAGGCCCAAAAAGGCCCCCGCAAAGAAGGGAGAGACGGUACCCAAAGGGAAAAAGGGAAAAGCUGAUGCUGGCAAGGAGGGGAAUAACCCUGCAGAAAACGGAGAUGCCAAAACAGACCAGGCACAGAAAGCUGAAGGUGCUGGAGAUGCCAAGUGAAGUGUGUGCAUUUUUGAUAACUGUGUACUUCUGGUGACUGUACAGUUUGAAAUACUAUUUUUAAUCAAGUUUUAUAAAAAAGCAGAAUUUUGUUGUUGUUUUUUUAAAAAAAGUA